rnacentral:rRNA from 1 species
AUGAACGCUGGCGGCGUGCCUAAUACAUGCAAGUCGAGCGAACAGACGAGGAGCUUGCUCCUCUGACGUUAGCGGCGGACGGGUGAGUAACACGUGGAUAACCUACCUAUAAGACUGGGAUAACUUCGGGAAACCGGAGCUAAUACCGGAUAAUAUAUUGAACCGCAUGGUUCAAUAGUGAAAGACGGUUUUGCUGUCACUUGUAGAUGGAUCCGCGCCGCAUUAGCUAGUUGGUAAGGUAACGGCUUACCAAGGCAACGAUGCGUAGCCGACCUGAGAGGGUGAUCGGCCACACUGGAACUGAGACACGGUCCAGACUCCUACGGGAGGCAGCAGUAGGGAAUCUUCCGCAAUGGGCGAAAGCCUGACGGAGCAACGCCGCGUGAGUGAUGAAGGUCUUCGGAUCGUAAAACUCUGUUAUUAGGGAAGAACAAAUGUGUAAGUAACUAUGCACGUCUUGACGGUACCUAACCAGAAAGCCACGGCUAACUACGUG